rnacentral:tRNA from 1 species
UUUAGGGUAGUUUAUAAAAAAAUAGGAACUUGUGGUGUUUUUGAAGCUACGGUCGGUUGUAGGACCAUGGUCCCUAAAA